AGACACUGUGCUGGGUGCUGGCAGGACGAGAGUGGUGAACUAAACCAAGUCCUUCCUGUGGAGCUCACUGUCUAUGGACUGAUUCUUCCUUCGUGUCCUCAUCAUCUGCUCAGUCCAGGGAUGCAGUAGACGCUAGUUGCUACCUGAGGGGACAUCUGCUCUGGGACUCAGAGAAUGAUAAAGAGAUCUCCAGAAUAAAUGAAUCACUUUCAGAGAAAAGUAAAAGAACAAAAACACAAAAAUAAAAAACACACAAAAGAAGCAAAAAAAUACUACAUUCUCCCCAAAUUUCACAUCGUAAGUGGCUGGAAGUGCAAACAUAAAGGAUGCUAGCAACAUGGCCGCGGCAAGAGGAGCCUCUGGAGCAAGGUCAGCUUCUCCCCUGAUUUCUGGCUUUCAGCCAACAAGGCCAAUGGCUCUUCCAAACCAGCUGCUGCUGCUGAGCUCCAGAAGAGGGGCCUCUCAACUUCCAGAGGCCAGGAAGGCUCACCCUCGGAGCUCUCAGUUUUGUUUUUUAUACUGCAAGACAGAGAGAUUCGAAGUGGAGGAGGGAAGCCAACAGGGGCAGGAGGACUCUGGAGAAAUCUCAGGCCUCCAUCAUCUGGACCUCACCUGCCUCCUGCAGGGGCUUCUUGGAGGUGGUGAAACCCAAGCAGGAGGCACUGGGCAGCCAAAUCUCUAGUUCAUGCCUGGACUCCCUUUCUUCUUUAGUGAAAAAGGAAGCUGACAGGGCUGGGGAGGGAGGAUAGUGAUAACUCACUCUGGAGAGUGAGUUAGAAGGACAGGGAGGUAUGGUCACACUCCAACUCUCUAGGUCCUUCUAAUACCAGCAUCUAAGGGCCAAGACGCCAGUCUACAUUCCUGACUCACUCCCUUCCUCCACCAAAACAUACUGAAUGUUUCCUCCAUAAUUCUGCCCCAGUGUGAAUACCCCCCAGAGACAGGGAGUCCCCCGCCAGGACAGCUUCCCUCUCUGCGGCAUCACAGUGCCACCGCCGGCUCUGGCACUAUAGCUUUCCCUCCUUCUUCCUGCUGCCCCCUCUCAGCUCGAUCAGCACUGUUGGGCAGAAAUUUGCCUUUAAGGAUGAAGAGUGAGAGCCCCUCCCCACUUGCAGAAUAUAAAUGCAACCAGAAGGGAUUUGUCUUCACCUUUCAGCUUCUGGAGGAGGGAAGCAGCUGGCUGGUGGCCUCCUCCACAGGGACCAUUCUCAACUGUGGGGCAGGAGUGGCCUCUAGUGGUCAUGGGGAUCACAGCCAUCAUCACCCCAGCUCGCAGGCAGAGCCCAGGGGCCAAGCACCUACUUUGUUCAUGAUCCAGUCAGCAUCUUCAAUGGCUCUUUUAAUAAUCUGCUGGAUUCUCUCAGGGUUGUCUUCAUCUGAAUGAACCCGAAAACUCUGCAAGUUUAAGCAUAAAGAAAGAUGACUAGGCAAAAUUCCCAGGACAGGCAGCUUCAGAGCACCAAUCACAGGCCAGGGACACUGCUGGGCACUUUAUACCCAGCAGCUCUCUUCAUCCUCCAUAGACUGUUAUGAUUAUCCCACACAGAGAUGAGGAAACAGAGGCUCACUUGCUGCUGAACAAUAGCAUUUGAAUCCUAGUCUAUGUGACUGCAAAGCAUGUACUCCUGCCACCAAGGUAGGUGCAAAAAGACUGGCCCCCAAGUUACUGCCAAAUCAAGCUAGGCCCAAAGGCUAUCAGGCAGUAGAGUCCAAGGGGAAACUUCCAUCUCUCUUCCUCAGAAGACGCUGCUUUCCCCAGGGUGAGAUCUCUGCAUAGGCUUUACAGCAGGGAGGAAGAAGUAGGACUUCUCUCGGCCCAGUGCUAGGAGAGCUACACAGGGAAGGGAGGGGAGGUAGUAGAUAGAGUGGCCUCAGGAAAUCCACCCAGGCCCAGUGCAGAGCAUGGGAUACUGUUUGCUUUUGACCAGAUAUUCAUCCUUGAGAAGCAACCUAAGAUUCAGGUUUUGCUUUUCAAAAAGAACUGGCACCAGGCAUGGUGGCUCAUGCCUGUAAUCACAGCACUUUGGGAGGCCGAGGCGGGCAGAUCACCUCAGGUCGGGAGCUGGAGACCAGCCUGACCAACAUGAUAAACCCCAUCUCUACUAAAAAUACAAAGUUAGUCGGGCGUGGUGGCACAUGCCUGUAAUCCCAGCUACUCGGGAGGCUAAGGGAGGAGAAUCGCUUGAACCCAGGAGGCAGAGGUUGUGGUGAGCUGAGAUUAAGCCAUUGCACUCCAGCCUGGGCAACAAGAGUGAAACUCCAUCUC
ensembl:lncRNA novel transcript, antisense to C17orf108